CCGCCCCCCGCGCACCGCCCAGGGCCGCCAGCGCGGCGCGGAGAGGUCACCGCGGUGGCAUUCCUCCCCGCGCGCUGUUUACGUGACUUAAUGUACUUCAUACGCCGCGGCUUGUUAUCUAGGCCACCCAUGACCGACGAAAGAUCUUCCCUCCCGGCUUCUCCCAAGGCCGCUUUAACCCAAAUAAAUUUGGCUAUUAAGGGCCAAGAUGCCUGACAAAAGAUCGAAAGGUGUCUAUCCGUGAUCGCUUAAAGAAGCGGAGGAAAAGCUUGUGGCUCUCUGAUCCCGAUAAAGACAUUCCACCCGGCGCCGGCCUCCCUUCCCGCGGCCUGGCUGCGCCCUGACACCCUGAGAUCGCGGCCUCACUGGCGCACACCUCCACGGGCCCGGCGGGACCUGUGUCCGCUGCACCGGGAAUGUGGAGGUCCCCAGGCUGCCUGGGUCCCGGGGUCCGUGGAACUCCAGGCCGGACGGAGCUGGGCUCCCAAAACAGACACCCUGCACUUGCCAGAAAAACUAAACCGAGCUCACUGGGGCCUGAGUUACCGUCCCGUUUUGAUUAUUUUCUGAUGUUGAAUAAUUCUACCUUCCCACCCCCCACUCCCUGGGGUUUUGCCGAGGGGCGAUGUUAUUCCAUAUCUCUGGUGGUCUGGAGCAGCCCUUCUUUGGAACCCCGGUCAGAACCGAUGGGUGGAACUGGACAGCUGAAUUAGACUGAGGCCAAUGCGGCGGGUGUGGACUCGCAAAUGAAGAGCGCGCAGGUGGGAGGCAGAGGUCCAAUCCCUCGGUCAUCCCCAGGUUGGCUUUGGUUAUGAAAUGCGGUGUUUAUUAUCAUUAUUAAUUACUAUUGGCAUAACUACACAAAGCCUAGGGCUGCCAGCUGGGCUGAGGCCCUGCCCCUGGGGUGAUCCUUUUCACUAAAGCGAGGCAGGACUAUCCACUUUCCUGAUCCAGGACUGAAGAGGGGGCUUGGGGAGUCAGGUGCCACGUUUUGGAGGUCUCCGCACUGAGCCAUUUCUUCUUCCCUUAAGUAGAUGUAGCAUUCCCCCGGACUCUAGUCUCACCUAAGCCUUUUCUGCCACUUUGCAACAUGGGUAGUUAAGAACCUUCAGGGGUGGCAGGUUAGAGAGACAGCGCUGGCUUCCCUGCAACGGGGAUUCAUUCCUCUUAGAUCUUGUGCUGUCCCCUUCUGUUCUAUGGUGAAGCUGGAGACAGGACUCUGAAUUCCAAAGGCAAUCUAACAUCUUCGGUUUCUGUCUGUCACCUCAUGCUGGGUCCCGGAAGUUAAAGAUGACUCCCUUUUCUCAUUGCCUUCCUCCAAAUAAGGUGAACUCCAAAGCCAUCCACCUCAUCUAAUCCUUCCCCCUCAUCCAGCCCACCCCUCUGGGGUGGGGGGUGGGGGGGGGGAUAGGAAAAACCAGAGCAUCAGAAGGAAAGGGAUCAUUUCUGCUCCCCCAAAGGUGAAAGAGACAGAAAUUUCCAACACACUAGACAUGAAAGACCUGAAUUUUGCUGGUAUCACUAGAUGUGCAGAUAAUGCCAAUUCUAGGGUCAGAGUCCAGAUGCCACUGCCCCAGAGCUGUCUCAGCUCAGAGACCUUUCUGUUUCUCUUUUCUUGGUUGGGGGGGGAGGGGGUAAUGUUGCUAAGAGGGAGCAGAAAAGGAGGUGAUAGAUAAGCUUUUGGAGAUUUGCUAAGUAACUAAUGCUCCUCCUUGAGUCAAUUAAAGGGGAGAGAAAUGCCCCCAAAAUAAAAAAUUACUGCAUUUGCCACCCAGAACUAUGACCUCUGCAUUCAGUUAUGUUGCAAAUAUGCAGAGAAUCAGGACCGAGAGUUGUCUACCCAUAUGCAGCCCUCCAGUUUCCUGCGCUUGCCCAACAACACUACUGAGUAUAUAUACUGCACAAAGAGAACUAGAAGAGUUAGCUCCUAGUUUUGAAGUGUUUACAGUCUAGAAGUUUGGGACUUCUGUGGAGCCGGUUAGGCAAAGUACCACAGACAGUUUCAAAGAUGGAGGGAGGUGUUUGAGCCUUUCCCUAGAAGAGUUUACCCAGGCUCAUAUUGUCUUCUAGGCUUCACAGUGAGUUUGUAAAGAACCGAGUCACUCUGGCUCACAGACUAAGAGAAUUGCCUGGGUUGGAAUCUUGAUUCUGCCACUUUCUAACUGUGUGACCAGGACAAAUUGCCUAACCUCUCUGUGCCUCAGAUUUCUCAUCUGUAACAUGAGGAUGAUAAAAGUAACUCCCCGACAGGAUUGUUUAAGGGGAUUAAAAGAUUUCUUAAAUGGAAAGUGCUAAGAGUACCUGGCACAUAGUAAGCACUAUGUUAAGUGUGAACUAUUAUUACCAAUAUCUAUAUUGUAAUAGACUCACAUAUACUACACCGACUUUCAAUUUCUUGUGUGACCCAUCUGUUCCCUGGAGCGAAUUAAUUUCCAAGAAAGAACUUCUUUCAGCACCCAUUCAA